rnacentral:lncRNA from 1 species
GUUGGCAAUAUGUUGCUGAACUCCGGUGGUAUUGUGGAUUUCACCGGUGUUACAUGGAUUUUCGAUAAAUCAGUUACGGUUUUCUUGCUCCGAAGGAGAUAAUCAUUCAUAGUGUCACUGUUUCUAUAUUUGACAGGAGUUGACAUGCUUUUUCGGGACUUUCGGGCCUCCACCAAAAUUAUCAGGACUUUUAUUUGUCUCGUAAGUUGUUUAGACGGACCUGUAACUUUGCCGUAGUUUGGCUUUGGGUGGGACUGUUUUGGCUGUGAAUAUUAAAAAUGCAAUUUCUAAUAUUUUAAUAUGCCGCAGCACUGAAGUCAUGUAUUACAAUUAACAAUA